rnacentral:lncRNA from 1 species
CAUGAGGCAAGAAGCAAGAUGUACUGUGCAUUCUUCAUGGUCUCCUCAGGACAGCUUCCUCAGAGAAAUGACACCAGUGCUACUUCCAGUUAUAUCCCUGUUUUCAUGCCUUUGUCCCAGCCUAAUGAAACUCCAGGCUGAUCUGCAGAAGGGCAGGAAAAAAUUGCCUUCCAGAUGAAAUAUGUGGCAAGAAGAGCUAUAUUUCCAAACAAUUUCAGAGAAAUAAUUUUGUAAGUUAUUUGUCACUCUGCUGCACAAAAUGAUCAGACACACUGUCCAAUCAACACCAAACCAGAAACUAACAGGUAUGAAAAUGUUCUGUUUCAUCUAACUAUUUUUCCAGUGAUCCAGAUUUACUGUGAGUAAAUUUACCGCAUCUCACUGCUGGGCUGCAGCUCUCAUCUACAGAGCUGUCACAGUGAUGGCUCCCAGCACUUUGGGUUUUAACCAUUAAAACUAUUUUUAUGAUGUUCAAAAUACUUCAGAAACAACUGCUGUUAUUGCCUAAUUUUUGUGCCUAAUUACUGUGGCAGUGGGCAGCCUAUGAAGAUCUGUGAUGGUGAUGAGAAUUCAUUUACUCUAACCUCUCAUUUUCAAUUACAAAUAAUGCUGUGUGGAGAUCAUUUUGCCCAGAGAAGGUCUGGUGUAAUUCAAAACACCCCCCACAUCUUUAGGAUGCUGCAGCCACUCUGAAGUGUCUGACACUGCUGGUGCUUUAUGGAAAAAUGUAUUUCAGAAAAUAGCUGGGGAGAGGUGCCCACAGAGGUGCUGCAGAAUUUAAUUUCCCACGUCUAGGUUGUCUGGUGGAUGUUUGUGAGGUGUUUCACAGGGCUGUGAGCUCUUUGAUGGCUUUGGAGGUG